rnacentral:rRNA from 1 species
CGAGCACGCGCGUGUGGCAUAUCAAUAAGCGGAGGAAAAGAAACUAACAAGGAUUCCCUUAGUAACGGCGAGUGAAGCGGGAAGAGCUCAAAUUUGAAAUCUUCAAGGUUCUACCUUGACGAAUUGUAGUUUAUAGAAGUGUUUUCUGUUAGUGGAGUGGCAAAAGUUCUUUGGAAUAGGACAUCAUAGAGGGUGAGAAUCCCGUAUUUGGUCAUUCCUCCUAGCGUUGUGAUACACUUUCAAAGAGUCGGAUUGUUUGGGAAUGCAGUCCAAAAUGGGUGGUAAAUUUCAUCUAAAGCUAAAUAUUGGCGAGAGACCGAUAGCGAACAAGCACCGUGAGGGAAAGAUGAAAAGAACUUUGAAAAGAGAGUUAAACAGUACGUGAAAUUGUCAAAAGGGAAGCGUUUGAACACCAGUGUUGUUUUUCCGAAAAUCAAUUACGAAUGUUUUAUUUUUGAGGAGUUAUGACUUCAUCGGCUUGCUUCUUUCUUUACGAAACUUUCUUAAUGCACUUUUCGGUUAACAAGUCAACAUCAAUUUCUUUUGUUGUAAAAGGGUAUGAGGAAGGUGGCUUUCUUUUCGGAGAAAGUGUUUAUAGCCUUGUGCCUCUGCAAUCGGAGAGAUUGAGGUCUGCAUGCGUAGAUCCUUCGGGGUUAGAUACGUUUGUGCUAAGUUAUAGCUUUUCAUAGACAACUUGUUGACUAUGUUUAGUCUUGUAGCUUACUCGCUGACGCUAUUUUACCUACGCUUAGGAUGUUGAUGUGAUACUGCGAGCA